rnacentral:rRNA from 1 species
UGGGGUAUAUUGCACAAUGGGCGAAAGCCUGAUGCAGCGACGCCGCGUGGGGGAUGAAGGCUUUCGGGUUGUAAACCUCUUUCGCUAUCGAACAAGGCCCGCUUAGGGUGGGUUGAGGGUAGGUGGAGAAGAAGCGCCGGCUAACUACGUGCCAGCAGCCGCGGUAAUACGUAGGGCGCGAGCGUUGUCCGGAAUUAUUGGGCGUAAAGGGCUUGUAGGCGGCUUGUUGCGCCUGCUGUGAAAACGCGGGGCUUAACUUCGCGCGUGCAGUGGGUACGGGCAGGCUUGAGUGUGGUAGGGGGGACUGGAAGUCCAGGUGUGGCGGUGGAAUGCGCAGAUAUCUGGAGGAACACCGAUGGCGAAGGCAGGUCACUGGGCCGUUACUGACGCUGGGGAGCGAAAGCAUGGGUAGCGAACAGG